rnacentral:rRNA from 1 species
AUACGGAGGAUCCGAGCGUUAUCCGGAUUUAUUGGGUUUAAAGGGAGCGUAGAUGGGUUGUUAAGUCAGUUGUGAAAGUUUGCGGCUCAACCGUAAAAUUGCAAUUGAUACUGGCAGCCUUGAGUACAGUUGAGGUAGGCGGAAUUCGUGGUGUAGUGGUGAAAUGCUUAGAUAUCACGAAGAACUCCGAUUGCGAAGGCAGCCUACUAAACUGCCACUGACAUUGAUGCUCGAAAGUGUGGGUAUCAAACAGGAUUAGAUACCCUGGUAGUCCACACGGUAAACGAUGAAUACUCGCUGUUUGCGAUAUACAGCAAGCGGCCAAGCGAAAGCGUUAAGUAUUCCACCUGGGGAGUACGCCGGCAACGGUGAAACUCAAAUGAAUUGACGGG